UACGUAGGGUGCGAGCGUUGUCCGGAAUUAUUGGGCGUAAAGAGCUCGUAGGCGGCUUGUCACGUCGAAUGUGAAGGCCCGGGGCUUAACCCCGGGUCUGCAUUCGAUACGGGCAGGCUAGAGUGCGGUAGGGGAGAUCGGAAUUCCUGGUGUAGCGGUGAAAUGCGCAGAUAUCAGGAGGAACACCGGUGGCGAAGGCGGAUCUCUGGGCCAUUACUGACGCUGAGGUGCGAAGGCGUGGGGAGCAAACAGG
rnacentral:rRNA from 1 species